GGCUGCAGUCGCUGGAAUGCGGAGUCCUAGGAUAACCAUGUGCAGCGACGUCGUGGGGUCACGUGAGUCUCGAGGGUGAAAGUGCACAGAUUUGGCGGAGUACAGACACACAAUGACAGAACACAGAAUUCAGAAACACAUAAUGGGCGUUGUCACAAGCACAGAUUUUGGAUUCACGAGUUGUCGAGUCCCAGAAGGGGGAUACAAAUACUCGCCAUUGAGACCCAGAGACAGAAGUUGAUAUGGUGACAGGGAGCAGUACAGAUGGGGUGUAUCUGACACGCCCGCUCACUUGGAUACACCCAUAAUAGGAUACAAGCCGAGGUGAUCACUGAAUUUUCAACUAUCGAGAGGAGGCGGAGUAUUCACGUCAACUUGGAACAAUGGUGGAGACUCAUGGCCAAGAGUGGGGAGAGCAUGGGCGAAGGUGAUCUUUCUGGGACUGUGAUAUCUCGUGGUGACUUUUUAAUGGGUGAGUUGCUAGUGUUUUGAGUUGGCCUUUGCAUGGCUGCAUUGCUCGUCAUCAAGUGAGGCAGUUCAACUGCACCACUAGGCUGAAUGUUCAAAGAGGUAGUACCAAGAGUUGAGGGUCGCAUGAGGUUUGAAGUAGUACUAUGUUGAGUGACGAGGUCGUCACCCUUGCAUCAGCUAUAGCUGGGCGGAAACAAGUGAUAUGAUUCAAAGGUGCUGAAUAUAGGAAUUUUAAGGUCCUGUAGGAGGCAGAGAAAUCUGUAAUAGAUUUUUAGGAUUUCUACGUGGUGCUGAGUCGUUUGUUACUAGCUACCUAUUGAGUUUAGACUUUGAAUAUCUAAUUUAUUUCUUAGUUUUGUGAAACUCUAUUUGUCUAAACCUUUAGUAAAAAUAUUUGAAACUUGAUCUUGGAUUAGAAAAUAGAAAAAAUCUACAAUAUUUGUGAGGACAUUUUUUUUGUAUAUAAUCUAGCUAUAUUUCCCUGAUUUUUGACUUUAUUGUAGAAAAUGAGAUUUCUAGCUAAGUUAGAGUUAUUCUAGUUGUUGCAAAAUAAUGCUAUUGGAUUUGGUUUUAUCCUAUAGAACCUUGAGGAUAUUAUUUUUAUUCA